rnacentral:rRNA from 1 species
CGCCAGACUCCUACGGGAGGCAGCAGUGGGGAAUAUUGCACAAUGGGGGGAACCCUGAUGCAGCGACGCCGCGUGGGUGAAGGAGCACCUCGGUGCGUAAAGCCCUAUCGGCAGGGAAGAAACAGACGGUACCUGACUAAGAAGCCCCGGCUAACUACGUGCCAGCAGCCGCGGUAAUACGUAGGGGGCAAGCGUUAUCCGGAUUCACUGGGUGUAAAGGGAGCGUAGACGGCGACGCAAGUCUGGAGUGAAAGCCCGCGGCCCAACUGCGGGACUGCUUUGGAAACUGCCCGGCUAGAGUGCUGGAGAGGUAAGCGGAAUUCCUAGUGUAGCGGUGAAAUGCGUAGAUAUCAGGAGGAACACCGGUGGCGAAGGCGGCCUGCUGGACUGCAACUGACGUUGAGGCCCGAAAGCGUGGGGAGCAAACAGGAUUAGAUACCCCCGUAAAC